rnacentral:rRNA from 1 species
GUGAACGCUGGCGAUAGGCCUAACACAUGCAAGUCGAACGGCAGCACAGUAAGAGCUUGCUCUUACGGGUGGCGAGUGGCGGACGGGUGAGGAAUACAUCGGAAUCUACUUUUUCGUGGGGGAUAACGUAGGGAAACUUACGCUAAUGCCGCAUACGACCUACGGGUGAAAGCAGGGGAUCUUCGGACCUUGCGCGAUUGAAUGAGCCGAUGUCGGAUUAGCUAGUUGGCGGGGUAAAGGCCCACCAAGGCGACGAUCCGUAGCUGGUCUGAGAGGAUGAUCAGCCACACUGGAACUGAGACACGGUCCAGACUCCUACGGGAGGCAGCAGUGGGGAAUAUUGGACAAUGGGCGCAAGCCUGAUCCAGCCAUACCGCGUGGGUGAAGAAGGCCUUCGGGUUGUAAAGCCCUUUUGUUGGGAAAGAAAAGCAGCAGGUUAAUACCCCGCUGUUCUGACGGUACCCAAAGAAUAAGCACCGGCUAACUUCGUG